rnacentral:misc_RNA from 1 species
AGAAAGCAUUUUUCUAUCUUUGCUCGAUAUCCACAACGCUUAGUCGGGUUCAGUCGCAAGAACUGAAGCGUGCACACACACACACACACACAGACACAACAAUAACACAUUCACAAAGGCGCGAUGUCAGACGGAGCGAUAGUCCCGCGCGAAGACUCGCCGCAGUCGAUCUCUGAGGAGCUGGAGCGUCGUCGAAGCGAAGCUCGAAACUUGGAACUGCGGGUCUCGCGAAAGGAAGCGGAGCUCCAGCGCGCCAAGGAGGAGCAGGAGCUGUUGAAGGAGAUGCGCACAAUGAACGAGAUGAUCAUUCGAAAGAAGGAAAGGCAGCUCAGCGAGGGAGUGGCAAGUGGCGUGAAAAUUUCUCCCGAGUCGCUAGCGGAGCUGAAUGCGCUGGGGGAUGCGCUGAGGUUGGAGAACCGCAAGACGGUGGAGCUCCAGAGCGAGGCUGACGUCACUUCGCAUCAGAUGGAGGAGGUGGAACGCUCGCUGGAGAACACCGAGAAACAGCUUCUGGAGGCAAAGCGCUCCACUGGGUGGGAUGUCGACCGCAAUUCUGCACGCACGGAAACCGCCAUGGAGAGUGAGUUCAAGGAAAAGAAGAGGCAGCUUUCCUCCCUGGCCUCAGAACAGCGUACUAUCUCGGAGUUGUCUGAGCGACUGAAGCAACAGGCUGAGGAGCUUCAGGCCAAGGUUGACGCUGCCGAGGAUAUGGACGAGCGCUUCGCAGAGGCUGAGGAGGAGCUGCGUCAGGCAAACAUGCGAUAUAGGGAGUUGAUAGAGGAAGUCAAGAGUAACGAGCGCAUUCAAAAGAAAACAGAGCGCGUGCUGACGGUGGCAAACACGCAGAACAAGUACAAGUGCAUCCGGCAACUGGAGGGGGAAAAGAGGGUGUUGCACAAUAACCUCUCCAAGCUGCGCGAGACCAACGUGAGCAACUCCAGGUCCAUCCUUUCUCUCGAGGUCCGCUUGCGACAGCUGGAGACCCGGCUGGAGGCCGUCAACGGAUUUCUUCGUGAGGUCUUCGCCGAGGUGGAGGAUGACGAGCCCAUGGAAGAUGUGCCAGAGGGUGCAGUGGAGGUGCCGCUGGCCCAGUUCGAGGAACUGAGUGCGGCACUCGAGCUUUCCCGCGAGACAGUGGCGCAACGCGACGAUCAGCUAGAUGAGCAUGACUGCAAGAUCGAGCAAAUGGAACGGAAGGUUGUGAUCUUGCAGAACGCCAUCGCGUCCCGCGAGGUCUCCGCACAAGUGCAGGCCCGUGGAAGGGACAGGCAACAGCGCAGCAUGUACGCGAGCCACUCACGGCGGCGGUCGCAGCUGCGGACGGAGCGCGAUCAGCUCGCUGUGGAAAACACGGUGCUGCGGAAUCGACUUGAGUUGUUGUAGCGGCACAGCGGUCAUGGGAGCGCACCUUUGCUCUCUCACUUUCGUUGUUAUGUAAUUUCUCGUCCUUCGUGGUGGUCAGUGGUGACGCUGAUUGUACUUUUUUUUUCUCUUUUAUGCAUUGACUUCCAUGUACGUCCUCGGCAUGGCACCCUCACAGUGCGUGCUGCAACUGGAAUCGUACACACAGUGGUGGGUGGGGGGGCGGAGAAGGCGAGUAACUGGGGCGAGCGCCGCGGCAAGGCGGCGGCGAGGCUGAAGUGGGGGACGGACUGAGGGCAGCGGUGGCUCAAGUGAAUGACAUGAACGACGCAGGAGCGAGUGUGUCUGUUUGUUGGCCUCUUUUUCCUCCUCUAUCGAGCACACCCCGCUUUCCCCCCACAUCUCCAGUGCUUAGUGUGGUUUCGUCGCAUAUCGAGAGAGUCGUUGCCCCCCCCCCAUACGUAUUCCAUUGCUGAGUUUAGUUCCAACUUAGAAGAUGGAGGGUGGGAAUGAGGAGGGAGGAAGCGCUUGUUUUGAACCGGUAGUGGGAAUGGCAGCUUUUUCCCCAUUAUUUUUCGGUAGGUAGCUGUGAUACCCUGACGUGCAGCAGUGUGCAUUACACCACCUCCUUUCCUGAUCGAGGAACCAGCUGGGAGUGGGCUCCAUAGUUUGCAAGCGUGAGAAGGGAGCGGAAUGCAAGUGUGCAGUGGCUCUCGCAUUGCCUCCCCGUCCAUGCGAGUUCGAGUGCGAUACGGACGCGCAUAUGUGUGACCCUUGAAGUACCUCGACCCUCUUUCUGCAUCGAUGUCCAUCUAUCAUGUGUGCCGUCGUCAUCUUCACUUCCCUCGACGAUGCCAGCUGCACGGCGCAAGUGUUUGUAUUGAUGUGCGUAUGUUACAUGGACGCCACGUUUUCUUUCUCGCCUCUUCUUUGUUUUUUCUUGUCUUCAUCUUUUCGCUGUGUUCUCUCGUGCUUCUGGCGGGGUGGGGCUGGAGCAGAGAAGAAAGACGGAUGGGACACCACGUAAAAGACGGCGAAGAGGCAGCGCAGCGUGCGAAAGUCAACAGCCCCUCUGCUGCCUUGUCUUCUCUGCCCUUUUAUAUCUCACGUUUAGCGCAAAGUUCGCUGUAGUCUUUCCGAUGACACU